AGAAUUUAGAGCUGCGUCACAGAGCUCAGCGAGAGAGUGAGAGAGCAAGCUCCGUCGAUAGGUCUACCAGCAACAGCCCUGCUGCAGCAAGAGGGGAGAGAGGCAGCAAGAGAGACAGAGAGGGCUCCAGGAAGAGAAGUACCACCAACACCACGGGCUGGGCUCCUGCCACCAUCCACUGUCACCUGGACGUCGUACUCGGGCUCGGUUGGCGUAGGAGGCUUCGCCCAUUGACGAUGCUGGAGACCCGGCGCGCUUAAUCCCGCGGGGAGGGAGAGUGGGCAGACACCAAAAGGGUUAACAGAAAGGAAAUUUCUGGAACCUUCUCUUCUGCGGCGCUCCACAGCGAGCGGAGGGCUGAGGACUGCGCAGAUGGUGCACGGGCACAGCUCUUCGGUCCGGUUCGCCUUCCUCACUGACCAGCAAUGAAGAUGGCAGCUCUGCCUGGAAGUGCUGAGGACACAACCAGCCUUGAGCUUGGUCCUUCUGGCCGAGGAAGUCUCCCGAUUAUGCAGUGGAGUGGUAACUUUGCUUUCUCAUAUGGCAGGGAACAUUAUUCCAUAGCCUUUCAUCAUCCCGAGGCUUAAACAACUUUAAGGAUGUGAUAGCAUAAGCGUUUAAUCUAUAUUACUCACUCGUUGACAUCUCAAGCGUCAGGGCUGGUUGUUUAGCAACAACCGCUGGGCUCGGAACCGGCUCAGACACAGCGCGCCCGCCGUCUCCAUCACUUCAGCUGUAGCCUGUCCCCUGCACGGUGCUCUGAGGGAAAGAGAGAAGGGCUGUACUUCCACCAUACGCCCCACCCCGACCGAAUUUGGGGGGUUUGGUGGCACAGGCCGCAGGCGCUGCGGUUUUCUCGCCGACUCCGUCCCUUUGCGCAGUUCCGCGGAGGGGAGGACGCCAUUUCCAACGGCACUGCGGUGGUAGGAACGGGGAGGGAAGAACCAAACAGGCACCACGUGCCACUCCCCACUUUUCUUCCCCUCUUUCCCCAUCUCCACCUUUCUUCCUUCCCCUCCUUUUCUGCCAGAUUCCGUAGGGAAUUUCAGACUCUUACUGCAGUCGUCACAACCCCUCCUGACUCACUGAGCCUUCGCUGGCUGUAGCUGGCUCCCUUGGAGCAUCCUUGCCUCCUGCAGCGCCAGAUCCGCAGAGCAGGGGAACAACAGGAAUAGCAGCGACGACGGUGGUCCCUGCAGCGAGACAGACAGGCAUAAAUACACACACACAUGCAGGAACAGUCCCAGGCAGCUGUGGAGGGAAUUCUGUACAGCCGGGAGCUGGACUAAGCCAUGACUGCUUGGUUGUGUGGAAGACGGGUGGGUUGAGUCUCUUUUUCCUGAGUGUUGGCUGCAUGGACAACUCUUUGUGGUUUUCCCGUCACAGUUGUGGGGUGGAGGACCCUGUAAUUUGUAAAGCUAGUGCUGCUUCGUGACAUUUCUCAGGGCUUUAGAGGAGGUGCCACUGGCAGCUGGUUCAGUGUUCAGUGCAGGGGUGUACCUGAUUAAAUUCCCUUUGCCACCAUUUUUUUUGGCCACAGUUAGUUUAACUGCGGCUGAACGCAGGGAGGGUAAGGAGACACAGAUAAAAGAGGAGUUAUUUCAAUGUUAAACUUCAGCUGUAAAUCUCAUUACUCAGGAAUUGAGGUUACUGUCAGCAGGUAAAUCUGUGGGACUGGCAAGAAACAAGGCUAAGAAGGGGACAUGGCAUAUUUCUGUAGGACAGCAGUGACUGCGUGCACAGGGGCGGCACUGUCGCCGUGAGCUGUACGUGGCUAACUGUUCCAUUAUCCUUUUCUGGGUAUUGCCACAAAACAGCUCGGGAAAGCUGUGAUUCCUUCCUCCCUCCGACACUCGUGUGUGUGUGCCACCGUGUUAAGCUGAUUCAUUUUUGCGUGUGUCUGGGUUUCCUUGCUCUGGGCAGCGGGGUUUGCUGCGUGCCUCGGCCCCGGUGCAGCACUGACGCAGCGUUCGUUAACGCGCCGGCCCUCGCUGGCAAAACACACGCAGUUUUCUCGGCCGUUCUGACCGCUCAAGGGCCGCGAAAACUCGGGCGAGGAAGUUCGGGAUUGCAAAUGCUCACGAUGUGAACUUACUUAAAUGCAUUACCAUCCUAUUCUUUGCUAGUGGAGGAAGGCUCUGUGAGUGACGAGACAGCCACGAUCUCCCCCUUGCACUUGUUUUGCCGAUGGUCAUGUUACAUCUGUGACGCAGACGAAUUUUGCUGUUCGUUCCUGUCUGUGCUUUAGGGAGCGAGGCUGAUGAGGGCACGAGCUCGAACAUGGUUAGAAACAUCAAUUUAAUAUUGAUGCUACAAGUUCAAACCAUACCUGAAGGGUCAGGGGCAUUGGAUCCACCUAUUUCACGGCCCCAAAUGGCGAAGGGAUUCGGAUGAACACAACAGCACCCCUGGCCAUUUUGUCGCUCGCAGAGUAGACUCGGAGCCUGCAGCUCUGCUGCUGCUGCUGCUGCUGUUCAUUUCCAUGUUAUACAAAUACAGCGUUGGGCUCGGUGUCAGGAGCUUUCCUGAUGCCGUGAGAAGCUUAAAGUCUACAAGCAAAUGUUUUUCUUAUUUGGGAAGAUUAAUUAAAAUGACCAGAUGCCAAGUAUUCUACCCUCACUCCUCUCACAAAUCACUCCCAGAAAAUUCAGUGGUGCCGUGUAUGUUUUUUAAAACUUAAUCACGGUGUUUUCUUAUAGUUUAGUAUGGGUGUGACUGGGGGAGAGGGUAAGAUUUAAUUUGGGAAACAGCUGUAACGCUGAUGUUAAUGAACAAGUACAUAGGCAAGAGAUAGUUGUCCACAUCCUCUAUAUAUCUGCGUAUGGAUACAGACAGUCCCAAGCCCAGGUUGUGAAGAUGCCCUCAUUACAAAAUGAGAAGGGACUCCUCUGGCUCAUUCUCAGCCACCCAAACGUUUCAGUGCAAAGGCAGCAGUAGAAAAGGCCAGGCUGGACUCUCAAGCUCACAAAAUGGUUCCACCAGCACUCAGAGAUGCCAGUGCCGUUUAUACUGGCACGGCUCCGAGAGCGGCACCGCGAGCUGCCUGCUGCAAGGUCAUUCCCCUGACUCAUGGUCAGCAACCAGUUGGUUCAGGAACUCCCAAUCCACUUUUCUUGCAUCUGUGGCAGUGCUCGAAUCCCGAGCUUGAUAAUUAGCAUUACUGCAGUAGUGGACUACUGAGCCCAAAACUGUAGCUCCAAAAAAAUCCCGUGUCUCUGAAGCAUUUUAAAAUCCCUAUCUGUAAUUUGCUUCUUGUGCUAACUGCAAAAAACUUUGCACUAGUUCCCUCAUCCCCUUUUCCUCCAAAACUUCAAAAAGUUUGCACUACUUCUCUCAUCCCCUUUUCCCCCAAGACUUCCUCUGGACUGCUGGGAAUCAGCAGUGGCAUGUUAAGUUUAAGGAGAUAGACUCUGUUCCAGAA